GAUGAACGCUGGCGGCGUGCCUAAUACAUGCAAGUCGAGCGAACAGAUGAGGAGCUUGCUUCUCUGAUGUUAGCGGCGGACGGGUGAGUAACACGUGGGUAACCUACCUAUAAGACUGGGAUAACUCCGGGAAACCGGGGCUAAUACCGGAUAAUAUUUUGAACCGCAUGGUUCAAUAGUGAAAGACGGUUUCGGCUGUCACUUAUAGAUGGACCCGCGCCGUAUUAGCUAGUUGGUAAGGUAACGGCUUACCAAGGCGACGAUACGUAGCCGACCUGGGAGGGUGAUCGGCAACACUGGAACUGAGACACGGUCCAGACUCCUACGGGAGGCAGCAGUAGGGAAUCUUCCGCAAUGGGCGAAAGCCUGACGGAGCAACGCCGCGUGAGUGAUGAAGGUCUUCGGAUCGUAAAACUCUGUUGUUAGGGAAGAACAAAUUUGUUAGUAACUGAACAAGUCUUGACGGUACCUAACCAGAAAGCCACGGCUAACUACGUGCCAGCAGCCGCCGUAA
rnacentral:rRNA from 1 species